GUGUCAGCAGCCGCGGUAAUACAGAGGGUGCGAGCGUUGUUCGGAAUUAUUGGGCGUAAAGCGCGUGUAGGCGGGAUCGUAUGUCGGGUGUGAAAGCCCUCAGCUCAACUGAGGAAGUGCGCCCGAAACUGCGGUUCUUGAGUGUCGGAGAGGGUGACGGAAUUCCCGGUGUAGAGGUGAAAUUCGUAGAUAUCGGGAGGAACACCAGUAGCGAAGGCGGUCACCUGGACGAACACUGACGCUGAGACGCGAAAGCGUGGGUAGCAAACAGGAUUAGAUACCCUGGUAGUCCACGCCGUAAACGAUGAGUGCUAGCUGUUGCGGGUAUUGACCCCUGCAGUGGCGAAGCUAACGCAUUAAGCACUCCGCCUGGGAAGUACGGCCGCAAGGCUAAA
rnacentral:rRNA from 1 species